rnacentral:rRNA from 1 species
UACGUAGGGGGCGAGCGUUGUCCGGAUUUAUUGGGCGUAAAGAGCUCGUAGGCGGCUUGGCAAGUCGGGUGUGAAACCUCCAGGCUCAACCUGGAGACGCCACUCGAUACUGCUAUGGCUAGAGUCCGGUAGGGGACCACGGAAUUCCUGGUGUAGCGGUGAAAUUCGUAGAUAUCAGGAGGAACACCGGUGGCGAAAGCGGCUCACUGGCCCGAUAUUGACGCUCAUGUACGAAAGCGUGGGGAGCAAACAGG